CUUUGAUUGGCAGUGAUGGGGAGGACUCGCAUCAGCAUCCCAGGACAAAGAACCUGCCCCGGGCUCGGGAGAUGCUCCUGCCCCGGCACCUGCAGCGGGGCGGCUCGUGCGCCCGGCGCGGGACCGCUGCUGAGCGAAGCCGUGCGGCGAGGAGAGGACACGGUCCCCGGUGGCCAGCGCCCCCCGGGGCCAAGUGCCCGCGGCAGCUUCCAGGCUCCGUCCCCAACUUUCCCGGGGCCAGCGGCUGGGCGCAGACUCCCGCACCGCCGGGACAGGGGCCGAUUAGCGGGAGACGCGGGCGGGGGCCACCGCAGGCCGGAAGACUCUCCUCACCCCCAUCUUGACUAUUCGGUUGGGCGUUUACCUUCUUAUUCCCUCCCCCUGCUCCCACCCCGCGAAGGCUGAGCUAAGAGCUGCGGGAGCAAAGAAGAGGUGCUAGGGCUGGCAGGCUGCUGGCUGGGCUGGCAGCCGGUCCCUGUGGGCUGUGGUUACAGCUUACUGCAUUAGUGGCUGUACUCGGGGGAAGGGGUAUCUUCCCCAAACACUGAAAUGCAGUUAGCUGUGUGGUGGAAGGAGACAGCUGUGUAGCAGUCACAGCAAUACCCCUCAACUUGCCAAGGCCCAAAUGCAGGACGCACUGUGUGAGGAAGGCCCAAAUCAAGGGACACAACACGGUCUCCGGGAAAGCUUCAAGGGGAAUGUGCUAGAGAAGUGUGCUAAAGUACAGAAAAGGGGGUGUGGAACCCUUGUCUUUGAACGCUUAUGACCGAAACGAAAGGGGAAACGCCUGCAGGAGGAACAGCAGUAGAUGUACUGUGGAACAGCCUUUGUUUAAACGUUCUUCAUAGUAUUCAAACACUAUGUACAGUAUUUUCUACUAGUUGCCCUGUGCUUAGUGUGCAUUAAGUGUUUGUUUUACUCAGAGAGCCUAUGGUGCGCUCUCUUUGAAAUAGACACCGGAUUGUUACCGUCCAUUUCUCUGGGCUUUGCAUACAACAGCCCUGAGGUUUACCUGUAUGUGCUGCUUUCUGAACAGGCAGAACUCUGGCCUGAGCUUCAGCACAGAGGAAAGCCGAGGUGCAGGGGAGUGUAGAGUUAUUCAGUGUUGUCUGAGCAUCCCCUACUCACCCUUACACUUGUGCCCCCAGGGUGGGGAGACUGUGUCCUCUCAGGGGACGGAAGGCUGGUGGAACCAUUCCCUGGGGUGGAAAGGGGAGGGGCCAGGCACAAGAGUCAGCCGUGAAAACCAGAUCCUGGGCUUUUUGUGAGGCCAGGGCAGGAAGGGCUGAAUGCAGCAUGCCAGGGCUCACGGCUCCUUGCACCUCAGGACUAGCAACUUGAGAAGCAAAGAGCCCCCCAAGCCCCACCCUGCCUGGCUCCCUCUGUGGGUUUUCUGUCCUCCUUGAUGGGAAUUGACCCUACGUCCAUGUCCGUGUUUUGCCCCCUGCCCCCUGUGCUGGAAUUUGUCCCUUCACAGCAGCAGCAGCAGGAACUCAUUCCCAGGCAGCUGGUGGCCAGGGUGCCAUUCACAGAGCACACAGCUCCCUGUGCAGGCAGAGGGCAGGAUGGGGACUCUGGCGGGAGGUGAUAGCUGCCUUUAGGCUGACGGCUCUAUCAGUGACAUGCGGUCUGGGUGUGUUUCGCUCAUUGCUAUGCCAGCCAAGCUAGUUCACCUGACUAUCCUGGGACAGACACACGUGAAUCCUGCCCGUGCCAGGUUUGGGAGCAGCUGCUCUCCGGGCAGGACAGUCCAUCACUACAGCUCUCUUUGUGCUUGUAGUGCAACUGGGCCAUUUAGCCCUGUUUGUCCCGUAGUCGCUCUGGGACCAGGGAUAUCCCUGACCGCUCGUAGCAGUGGCUAAUGGCCCUCAUUCUGUGGGUGCAGCGUGACAUUCCUGCACAGCUACUGUGCUGCUGCCCUCGGGGCCCUUUGCUGCUACCAGGCUGGGUGGCCGUCAGCCUGCAGCCACAUCCCAAGUGCUUCCUGUUCGCUCUCCUCCUGCUGGCUGAGAGCUGGGGGUGAACUAGGCCACCUGAGCUGCACCUUGGCUACUGAUCAGCUGGUUCUUGACCAGUUAACAACAGCCGAUCCUCUUCCUCCUCCCAGCCUAUUAGAAGAAGAGACCGUGAUCUCUGUUGACUGGAGCAGCUGGGAGCUCACCAACGGGGAGAGCUACUGUUCCCCUGCAGCAGGCCUGAUUCUCCUCAGCGCAUCCCCUUGCCGGGCCACGUAUCUGAGUACAAAGCGAGCGUGGAACGCUCUCAGUUUCGAUACCAGCCUCACCGCCCCAGGCCCAGGUCUAGAAUCAUAGAAUAUCAGCAUUGGAAGGGACCUCAGGAGGUCAUCUAGUCCAACCCCCUGCUCAAAGCAGGACAAACACCAACUAAA